AUUGAACGCUGGCGGAAUGCUUUACACAUGCAAGUCGAGCGGCAGCGCGGCCUUCGGGCUGGCGGCGAGCGGCGAACGGGUGAGUAAUGCAUCGGAACAUGCCCAGUCGUGGGGGAUAACACUUCGAAAGAAGUGCUAAUACCGCAUACGUCCUGAGGGGGAAAGCGGGGGAUCGCAAGACCUCGCGCGAUUGGAGUGGCCGAUGUCAGAUUAGCUAGUUGGUGGGGUAAAGGCCUACCAAGGCGACGAUCUGUAGCUGGUCUGAGAGGAUGAUCAGCCACACUGGGACUGAGACACGGCCCAGACUCCUACGGGAGGCAGCAGUGGGGAAUUUUGGACAAUGGGGGCAACCCUGAUCCAGCCAUUCCGCGUGAGUGAAGAAGGCCUUCGGGUUGUAAAGCUCUUUCGGCAGGAACGAAACGGUGGGCUCUAGCAUAGUCCGCUAAUGACGGUACCUGAAGAAGAAGCACCGGCUAACUACGUG
rnacentral:rRNA from 1 species